rnacentral:lncRNA from 1 species
UGAGGAACAUCCACACAGCUGGGGCCAAGGCCUGCGGAGCCUUUUUUGGGCAAAAGGCCAGCAAACUCUUGAGGAACUGAUUCUCAGUCACCGAUAAUGAAAAUCCUUGAGAUGGCUCCAUGAUUCUCCUGGCCAUGCACAGUCGUGAUGUAAUUUGAGCCACACAGAAGCCCUUAAGGUUGUCCCCAAGAGCACUUUCUAACCAACAUCCUACACGCCAAGUUCCAUCUCUGAGUCUGCUUCCCAGGGCCCUCGCUGGAUUACAAAGCCCUGCGGAGCUUCUUGAGGACGGCAACAGCGUCUUAACGACUUCUGCAUCUCCAGCAGCUCUCACUGGGC